rnacentral:sRNA from 1 species
UCUGAGAACCAUAUAUGAGACUUUCAUCUCGUACAGCUCAAGCAGAAAAACACCCCAAUACUAGUUGCAACGGAUAUGUAAUGUAAUAGAAAGUUUGAAACUUCUUAAUCUCUGAUUCAAUCUUCUCUGAAGAUAUGAAGUAAGAAAAAUCCGAAAGCUCUUCCUUUGUGGCGAUAA